AUGGAGCAUAAAAUGUUGGGAUUUUCAAUGAUGUUACUUGCUUCUCAAUAUUGUUGGUGUCAAACACUGUCUCAGUCUGAGGCUGCAGUCAUGAAACCUGGAGAAUCCCAUAAACUCACAUGUACUGCCUCUAGUUUGGACAUGGCUAACUACUGGAUGGCUUGGAUCAGACAGAAGCCUGGAAAAGAGCUGGAAUGGCUGGCAGUGAUCAGAUAUGAUAGCCAGUCUAUAUAUUACUCUCAGUCUGUCCAAGGACGGUUCACCAUCUCCAGAGACAACAGCAGGAAGCAGGUUUAUCUGCAGAUGAACAGCCUGAAGAAUGAAGACACUGAUGUAUAUUAUUGUGCAAGAGAGACACAGUGA